GGUGUUGUUUGCUUCCAGCGUGCACAACAUAAGACGGAUCCAUAUUAUGCACAGCUAGACAUACAAUAGGAUUCUUCAACUUCUCCCCUUCCAGAGACCCAAAAGCCCGUCCCUUGACCAAUAGAAAAAUGUCACGUAUUCGGAAAAUGCGCAGGAUCUCAUAGUUCACAGACCUAGGACAGAUGUAGAACAGUGUCAUACUAAUAUAGUAACAUAUUGCGACGGAAAUAAGUAUAUGGUGUAGAAAUAUAUCACAUUAAGAAGGACAAUAAAUCAACUUCCUUCAUUUGUGAUAACAACUUUGACUAGGCCAAUCGAUUCACUUCGAGAAAAUAUUGCGAGGUGAAUAAAAAAUCUUCAAAUACAACCGAAUAUUCUCUUCAGUGGUGUACAAGGAGACAUCGCAUAUCGACGAUGGCGGCACCAGAAGAGCACUGGAUAAUGAAAUAUUUUACGAUGGAGACCGUACGUGCAAGAUGCGGUGCUUGUGGUAUAAAACUUCGUGUUUUCGGAACCUUAAACCAUUUCGUGGACCAUAUAAAGAAGGAACACGAACAACAGUACAUCAAUUGCUUCAAUCAAGGAUUCGACGACCUGGAAAUGGUGUUUCGUUCUUUCUUUUACAUAACAGAAAAUACUAAUGCAAAGUGUUUCUUGUGUAAUACCGUAUAUCGUGUGUCGGAAACCGCUCUGAAUCAAUUAAGAGCUCAUUUAACAUCUGCACACUGGGAACAAUAAAAUAUGUUAUAUAAACAUUAUAAAUCAAUAGAAUGGACCGCGAUAUGCAAAUUGCAAAUAUAUGUUAUAAGCAAAUAAAAGAGAAAGUUAUUGUGAAUUUUAACGAUAAACAAGUCAUCAAGUUAAAGAUUCGGCAACGUGGACCCGAGUUUCAAAAGAAAUAUCGAGGCUAAUGCUUUAUCAGGUCAUUAUUUCGUUUCGAAAGGAACAAGAACUGAAAAAAGUUAAGAUAUACAGACAAGACAAGAAGCUUACACAGAUGCAACAUCGUCCAGUCGCCAGCUUGCGACUGUGGAGCUCCCGUCCAGGACAUUGAUCACAUCCUCUGGUCGUGCACCCUCUACGAGCGGCACCGUCCCGAAUUACUGAGAGCUAUCCGUUCUAGUACAAAAUCUAUUCCGCUAUAUAAGACUCACAUUCUCCUGGGACCCCUUGGAAGUGAUCCUUCCGAUCUUGGCCUUCCUAAACAAAAACCAGCUAAAAAUCAAAGGCUACAACUCGAAAAAAAAGGAAUAUCUCACAACCUGUGUGGCAGUUCUAUCUGGCAGCAUGAUCUAAAUCUUUGCCAUACAAAGGAAGAAGAAGAAUGUAAUAUAUUAAAAAUAUAAA